AUAAACAUAAUUAUUGGUACCUUCUCUCUACUGCAGUGCUGAUAGGUCACAUCUGAAGAGGAAAUUAGAUCUUGAAUUUCAGCAACCUGAAGAAGAAUAACUUGUACACAAGUAUACCAAGGGUUUUCAAUUCUUGUGCAGGAUAAAUAUUUUGGUAUAAGAGGGAAAUACCUUGGCGAGACUCUAGACUGAGGUAAUCAGCACACAGAAUUGUUAACCCAGAGAACACAGCCCCUUUAACUGGUCAUGUGUACAAUAAACCACUGGAGUAAAUAGUUAUAUUUGAUGAUUGAUUUGUGUCUGGAAUAUUGAUAUUUGAACCAGUUCUUCAUGCUUGUAUUUGAAUCGGGAGAGAGAUUGAAAACUAUUUGCGGCAACAUUGAUUGAUAUUGUAUUAAUUUAAGCUCGAGGAAUUUUGUUGAGCACAUUUUGUUUGUUUGGUCCAUGCUUUUCGGUAAAUUGAAACUAGGAAAUUGUUUAGUUCA